GCAUCAAUAUGGUGACCUCCCUGGAGCGGGGGGCCACCAGGUUGCCUAAGGAGGGGUGAACCGGCCCAGGUCGGAAACGGAGCAGGUCAAAUCAACAC
rnacentral:sRNA from 1 species